UAAAAUAUAGCUUAAAAUAAAGCAGUUUGCUUACACCAAAAAAAUAUUUGUUUAAUCCAAAUUAUUUUAU
rnacentral:tRNA from 1 species